rnacentral:rRNA from 1 species
CACGUAGGGUGCAAGCGUUGUCCGGAAUUAUUGGGCGUAAAGGGCUCGUAGGCGGUCCGUCACGUCGGGAGUGAAAACUCGGGGCUCAACCCCGAGCCUGCUUUCGAUACGGGCGGACUAGAGGUAGGUAGGGGAGAACGGAAUUCCUGGUGUAGCGGUGGAAUGCGCAGAUAUCAGGAGGAACACCUAUGGCGAAGGCAGCUCGCUGGGACGGUACUGACGCUGAGGCGCGAAAGCGUGGGGAGCGAACAGG